rnacentral:rRNA from 1 species
AGGACGAACGCUGGCGGCGUGCUUAACACAUGCAAGUCGAGCGGAAAGGCCCUUCGGGGUACUCGAGCGGCGAACGGGUGAGUAACACGUGAGUAAUCUGCCCCUAGCUCUGGGAUAGCUCCGGGAAACCGGGAUUAAUACCGGAUACGACCACCCUUUAGACAUCUUUUGUGGGUGGAAAAGUAAUUUCGGCGUAGGGAUGAGCUCGCGGCCUAUCAGCUUGGUUGGUGGGUAACGCCUACCAAGGCGACGAC